rnacentral:rRNA from 1 species
GAGUUUGAUCAUGGCUCAGGACGAACGCUGGCGGCGUGCCUAACACAUGCAAGUCGAACGAAGCAUUUGAUUGGAUCUCUUCGGAGUGAAGCUCUUAUGACUUAGUGGCGGACGGGUGAGUAACGCGUGAGUAACCUGCCUUUCAGAGGGGGAUAACAGUUGGAAACGACUGCUAAUACCGCAUAAUGUGACGAGAUCGCAUGAUCUUGUUACCAAAGCUGAGGCGCUGAAAGAUGGACUCGCGUCUGAUUAGAUAGUUGGUGAGGUAACGGCUCACCAAGUCGACGAUCAGUAGCCGGACUGAGAGGUUGAACGGCCACAUUGGGACUGAGACACGGCCCAGACUCCUACGGGAGGCAGCAGUGGGGGAUAUUGCACAAUGGGCGAAAGCCUGAUGCAGCAACGCCGCGUGAGGGAAGACGGUUUUCGGAUUGUAAACCUCUGUCUUUGGUGAAGAAGAAAGUGACGGUAGCCAAGGAGGAAGCCACGGCUAACUACGUGCCAGCAGCCGCGGUAAUACGUAGGUGGCAAGCGUUGUCCGGAAUUACUGGGUGUAAAGGGAGCGCAGGCGGGACUGCAAGUUGGAUGUGAAAUACCGCAGCUUAACUGCGGAGCUGCAUCCAAAACUGUAGUUCUUGAGUGGAGUAGAGGUAGGCGGAAUUCCGAGUGUAGCGGUGAAAUGCGUAGAUAUUCGGAGGAACACCAGUGGCGAAGGCGGCCUACUGGGCUCUUACUGACGCUGAGGCUCGAAAGUGUGGGGAGCAAACAGGAUUAGAUACCCUGGUAGUCCACACUGUAAACGAUGAUUGCUAGGUGUGGGGGGUCUGACCCCUUCCGUGCCGGAGUUAACGCAAUAAGCAAUCCACCUGGGGAGUACGGGCCGCAAGGUUGAAACUCAAAGGAAUUGACGGGG